GGGUUUGCCGGCCUCUCCGCGCAGGCGCAGCAGAACUGGCGAAAAGCGCGCGGCGGCGGUCCAGUGGCCGCAGGAGCCUGGCGUUAAGGAUUCUUUUCCCUCCUAACAGGUUCCUGCGUUAGCAGCCGUGAGGUGGUCUCCAAGUUGGAGCCAGGAAUAAAGCUGUGAUGGUGGAAGAAGCCCUCAGCCUGAGCCUCUCAGGUCCGUCAGCGCCUUCUGAGUGGGAGGCUGGGACUAGGAGGAGUCAGCGGGUGUGCUGCGCGCUUCUCCCGGUUCCUCCUGCGCUCCCGGUCUUGAGGAGAGUUGGUUCAGGCAUCUGCAGUCUCCAUGAUGCCCACAACAGCCAGAGCCAGACCAGGGUGAGGCCUAGAUCCUGAAACUCCAUUCCUGUCUCUCUCAUGCACGGAAGAGACUCAGAAUAAGCCUAAUGACUGAAAGGAUAUACUGGAUUUGGAGACUCGACCAAGACAGCACUGUGAUCAUUUCGGAGUGUGAGGCAGCUACAUGUAGCCUGUGAGCAGUACAUGAUGAGAAAGAUGUGGAGGCACCCUGUGAUGAGCUCCUUGUAUGCAUGUCAGUGUCUGCUACUUUAGAUCCACUCAUGUGUGAGCUCUGCUGAGAGGGAAAUACUCUGUAGUCAACUGGAACUCAUUCAGCCAAAACCUUGAUUUUGCAUUCCUACUACCUAUUGACUGGACUUCCAUGUGCAUAUUUUGAGCUUAAUUAUGCCUCUAUUAUCUCAUUUCAGAUAGUGAAAACUAGAUAAAGAGAGUAUAGAUUAUGAUCAAUGAUCAUUGUUACUAAGCAGCCAAAAUAUGAUUUAAACUAAGAUCUGGGGCAGGUGUUUGGCCUGGUGGUUAAGAUGGUACCUGGGACACCUAAAUCCCAUGCUAGAGUGUCUAAGUUUGCAUCUUACUUCACUCCAAAUUCCAGCUUUCUGCUGAUGCACAGCUGUCAUUGAUUUCUCAAUGCCCCAUUUGGAGACUUGAAUUGAGUUCAUGGCUCUGAGAUACAGCCUGGUCCAUCCCUGGCCAUUAUAGUCAUUUGAAGAGUGAACCACCCAAUGGGACUCCCUCCCUCUCUCUAUCUGAAGCUCUCUGUCCCUCAAGUAGAUUAAUAUAAUUUUAAAAAUACAAAAAUUAAGGUCUGUUUAGCUUUCUAAAAAUAUGUAUUUAUUUAUUUUUAAGUCAGUUACACAGAGAGAGCGAGACACAGAGAUCUUCUAUCCACUGGUUCAUUCACCACAUAGUCACAACGGCUAGAGCUGGGCCAGUCCAAAGCAUGGAGCCAGGAGCUUCUUUCAAGUUUCCCAUGUGGGUGCUUGGGCUGCCCUCUACUGCACUCUGAGGUACGUUAGCAGGGAGCUGGAUCAGAAGUGGGGCAGGUGGCAGCUUAACCUGCUAUGCCACAAUGCCAUCUGUUUAAUUUUUAAACUUGAGUUGUUUGGGGACCAUAGGUAAGUCUUAAAAGCACCCAAAGUGUUAAUUUUAAAAAGCUGUGGAUGUAGUUGAAAAGCUGGAAAUUAGAAGACUAAGCACAUUGAUCUAUAUAAGAUCAGCAGCUGCAAAGGAUGAUAGGCUGAAUAAACCAUCAGCUUCUCUUGACUCUUGUUAAAAUUUUUAGCUGGAGGGGUCUGUGCUGUGGCAUAGUGGGUUAAUGCCCUGGCCUGAAGUGCCAGCAUCCCAUAUGGGUGCUGGUUCGAGACCUGGCUGUUCUACUUCCAAUCCAGCUUUCUGCUAUGGCCUGGGAAAGCAGUAGAAGAUGGCCCAAGUCUUUGGGCCCCUUCACCUGUGUAGGAGACCUGGAAGAAGCUCCUAUCUCCUGGCUUGGGAUUGGCACAGCUCUGGCCAUUGUUGCUAACUGGGGGAAUGAACCAUCAGAUGGAAGAUCUCUCUCUCUCUCUCUGCCUUUCUCUCUGCCUCUUCUCUCUCUGUGUAACUCUGACUUGCAAAUAAAUAAAUCUUUAAAAAAAAUUUAGCUGGAAGGACAAUUGACACCUUUUUUAAAAAUUUGAGACAGGGAGAUAAGAGAAACAGAAACAGAGAAGUCUCCCACCUUCCAGCCCAACUUACAUAUAAAUUUCUGCAGUGCACAGGCCAAGGACAGGAAACACAGUUCUUCUCUUCCAUGUAAGUGGCAGAGACAGAAUUAAAUGAGUCCUAACUUGGUGUCUCCUGGGAUGCACAGUAGCAGGAAGCUGGAGGUGGGAGCCAAGCCAGGAUUUGAACCUAGGUAGCCUAAUAUGGGACAAGGGCAUCUUAAACCUAUAUCUUAAUCACUAGAGCAAUCACUAGAUCAAAUGCUCAAACUAGAUCCACAAUCUCAGGAGGCCAGAAGUAUCAUUUAUGGUUUAUAUUCUUAUGACAGUGAAGAGAAUCAGGAUGCAGGGAACUGUAAAAUCCAAAAAUAACAAGGAUGAUCUCUGUAGAGAGAUGUCAGAGUCAUAUUGUAAAUCCUGUGCCAGAGAGAACCAAAUCACUCCUCCCUCUGUAACUCUGGAGGCCUCUUAGUCAAAGUCAGUUUCUCCCAAUGGGAGCUUCUAGUCAGGUUUGCUCUUGCCCAUACUAUCCAACAGCUCAGUGAUCCUGCUAAAGUGCUUUGUUGUGGGACAUUCUCUUUGAUACUUCCCUCUCUGAAUUAAAAAAUGACAAGCAAUGGACGCCUUAUGUAUUACUCAUUUACAAAGAGACCUGAGGUGUAUAAGGCAGGGGACCUUGAUAUCAGGCAGUCAGAAAGGCUCAUUUACAAAUUAGGGAUCGAUGUAAAUAUUGAGGUCUAUUGGAUUUAAAAAAAAAAGAAAAUUUAUUUGAAUGUCAGUUACAGAGAGAGGGAGAGACAGAGAUCUUCUAUAUGCUGGUUGACUCCCCAGAUGGGUGCAAUGGCCAGUGGUGAGUCAGGCUGAAGUCAGGAGCAAGGAGCUUCUAUUGGGUCUUCCACAUGGGUGGCAGGGCCUCAAGCACCUGGGCAUCUUCUGCUGCUUUUCCUAGGCCAUUAGUAGAGAGCUGGAUCAGAAGUGGAGCAGCUGGGACACAAAAUGGCACCCAUAAGUGAUGUCAGCAUAGCAGGCAGCAGUGCUAUCUGCUACCCCACAACACCAGACCCAAAGAUACUGCUUUUGGAUGGAGAUUCUUCUGGGCAUUUUAUUCCCUGUCUGCCCCACCCUUUAUUCUCUUACACAUAUGUUCCAGGUAGAUUAUGUUUAGAAGAUAAUCCUACUAUAAUUUAUUUCUAGUAAGGAUUGUUUAUCAAGAUUAAUAAAUUUUAAUGGUUUUAAGAACUUUGGAUUACGUGCAACUGAAAGACCAUGUUAUAAAGAAUUGGGUACUAUUUUAAACACUUGGCAUGUGCUAAGAAUUAAUAAAGUAACCUAACAUGCAAUGAUGAAAUUAAGAAUCCAGCGAAGAUGAAAGUCUGGGUAAACCUAAAAAUGCAUGUAGAGGACGGGCAUUUGGAAUAGCAGUUAAGAUGCCAGUUACGAUAUCUGCUUUCCACAUUGGAGGGUCUGAGUUCAGAUUCAGACUCUGACUCCUGAUUCCAGUUUAUAGCCAGUAUGGGCCUUGAAAGGCAGCUCAAGAAUUUGGGACCUUGCUGUCCAUGUGCGAGAUCUGGAUUGAGUUCCCAGCACAGAGCUCUGGCCAAAUACAGCCCUGACUGUUCCAGCAUUUAGUAAGUGAAUGAAGAGAUGCGAGCUCUUUCUUUUUCUUUCAUUCUUCCCCAGCCCCAUCCCUUUGCCUAUCAAACAUGCCUGUAGAAAUUCAUGGUGUAAUCAGUCCUUGGAUUGAUAGAAAUUCUCCUGAAGAGAUGCUUACAUAUUGAUUUAAAAAUGUAUAACUGUACUUAUAUAAAUGAUCAUACUUAAAAUUUCCCCUGUAUUAUCACUGUAGUUUUACAUCAUUCAAAACCUUUUUAGCAUAGUGAUUUUUUUUCAGUGUGAAGCAAAAGUAUUCCCAAACUAUUCCUUAGGUUUCCAUUCACCUCUUUUCAAAUGAAUCCCAGUCUUCACUUCAUUUCUCUUAAAAGUAGCAUUUCCAACUAAGGUACAGAAAAGGGAAAUUUUUCUUAGAAUUGCGUAUUUUAUUUGAGAGGCAGAGGGACAGAAACAGAGCGAUCUUUCAUCACUUGUUCACUCCUCAAAUGACCGCAAUACCCAGGACUGGACAAAGUAGAAGUUCAUCUGGAUCUCCCAUGUGGGUAGCAGGUCCCAAACACCUGGGGCAUCAACUGAUGCUCACCCAGGUGAGUGAGCAGGAAGCUGGAUCAGAAGCAAAGCAGGGAUGGUGCUGUGGCAUAGUGGAUGAAGCUGCUGAUUGUGGUGCCGCCAUCCUGUAUGGGAACUGGUUCAAAUCCUAGCUGCUCCUUCCAAUCCAGCUUUCUUCUAUGGCCUAAGAAGGCAAUAGAGGAUGGCCCAAGUCCUUGGGCCCCUGUGCCUGUGUGGGAGACCUGGAGGAGGCUCCUGGCUCCUGGCUUCAGAUCAGCACAGCUCCAGCCGUUGCGGCCAUUUGGGGAGUGGAACCAGUGGAUGGAAGACCUCUCUCUCUCUGCCUCUACCUGUGUCUCUGCCUCUCAAGUAAAUAAAUAAAUAUUAAAAAACUAAUCAGGACUUAAACUGGCAGCCAGAUAUGUAACUGAAUGGUUAAAAAGUUAAAAGCUGUUCCCGCUCCCCCUGCCCUCCUCUGGUGAACUUUCCCGACCUCAUUAGACUUGCUCUGUAUAGCCAUUCUCUUUAAAGUUAGUUAGUCAGUGAAUUACCCCAAUGUAGACGUAACCUUAGUUUCACCUAAGUAAGAUAGAAGGAGUCACUGUUUAGAAAUUAACAAACCUUCACAAGAAAUCUAUUCGCUCCUGGAACCCUGACCCCACCAUAUGUCCCUUAUCGCCAUUCGGCUGCAUUCCUAGGUAUCAUUGAGGCAGUUCCUGUAACCUUGUUGAGUGGCCCUCCCUUUUGGUAAUAGGAGGCUUUUUGAUCCUCCCUGUAUAGGCCAUAUGGUUCUCUGAUGUCUAAUCAAGCCCUUACUCGAUAUCCUGUACUCCCUGUAUUCAUAAAUCAACUGAUUGUAAAAUCACUUAACUUGUAUCAAUUGUUUACUCUGUACCGACUGUUUGAUCUAUGCAAUGAUUGAUUUUCUUUGUUUAAACGUGUAUAAAAACCCCGACUCUCUACUUCUCGGGGCCACCUGUUCUCUUACACUCAGGGGCCCCAACAUGUUGGAUCAUCAAUAAACCUUACCCUUUGCUAAUUUCA